rnacentral:rRNA from 1 species
UACAGAGGUCCCAAGCGUUGUUCGGAAUUACUGGGCAUAAAGGGUGCGUAGGUGGCUUGUUAAGUCAGGGGUGAAAGUUUUCGGCCCAACCGGAAAAUGGCCUUUGAUACUGGCGAGCUCGAGUGCGUGAGGGGUAACCGGAACGAGCAGUGUAGCGGUGAAAUGCGUAGAUAUUGCUCGGAAGGCCAACGGCGAAGGCAGGUUACUGGUACGCAACUGACACUGAGGCACGAAAGCGUGGGGAGCAAACAGG